UACGUAGGGGGCAAGCGUUGUCCGGAUUUAUUGGGCGUAAAGAGCGUGUAGGCGGCCAAGCAGGUCCGCUGUGAAAACUCGAGGCUCAACCUCGAGAGGUCGGUGGAAACCGUUUGGCUAGAGUCCGGAAGAGGAGAGUGGAAUUCCCGGUGUAGCGGUGAAAUGCGCAGAUAUCGGGAGGAACACCAGUGGCGAAGGCGGUUACCUGGAGCUUUGCUGACGCUGAUGCGCGAAAGCGUGGGGAGCGAUCCGG
rnacentral:rRNA from 1 species